rnacentral:rRNA from 1 species
GCGCAGCGAGUCGAGAACCUCCGCAAUACACGAAAGUGUGACGGGCCAUCCCGAGUGCCGUCCGCUGAGGACGGCUUUUCCCCAGUGUACACAGCUGGGGGAAUAAGGAGAGGGCAAGCCUGGUGUCAGCCGCCGCGGUAAUACCAGCUCUCCGAGUGGUGGGGACGCUUAUUGGGCCUAAAGCAUCCGUAGCCGGCUGGGCAAGUCCUCCGUUAAAUCCAACGAUUCAAUCGUUGGGCUGCGGGGGAUACUGUCCAGCUUGGGGGCGGGAGAGGCCGACGGUAUUCCCGGGGUAGGGUGAAAUCCUAUAAUCCCGGGAGGACCACCAGUGGCGAAGGCUGUCGGCUAGAACGCGCCCGACGGUGAGGGAUGAAAAGCUGGGGGAGCGAACCGGAUUAGAUACCCGUGUAGU